rnacentral:lncRNA from 1 species
CUAAGUUGCAAGUAUACUCAUAUAUAAUUCCAGCUACAUGUAUUUACAGAACUGCAGGGACAAAAAUGGAGAAGAGACUGAGGGAAAGGAGGUACAUUGACCUGUCCAAACUGAGACCCAACUCAAGGGGAGGCUCCAAGACCUGAUACUAUUACUGAUGCUAUGAUGUACUUACAAACAGGAGACUAGCAUGGCUGUGCUCCAAGAGGCCCAACAAGCAGGUAACUGGGACAGAAUUAGAUAGUUAAACCAACCAGUGGUCUGAAGUCUGGGACCCCUGUGGUUAAAUUAAGAAAAGGCUGGAAGAAGUUGAGGAGCAGGGCAACCCCAUCAGAAGACCAGCAAUCUCCACAAACCUGGACUCCCAAGAUCUCUCAGACACCACACCACCAGCCAGGCAGCAUACACUAGCUGGCCUGAGGCCCCUGACACAUAUACAGCAGAGAACUGACUGGUCUGGCCUCAAUGGGAGAAAAUGUUCCACUCUUGAGAGACUUGCAGUUCCAGGAAAUUGGGAGGUCUGGUGGGGUACAGGAGGUAUGAGGCCAUCCUCUCAUAGCUGAGAAAGAAGGAAUGGGAUGAAGAACUGUCAGAGGGUUGAACAGGAGGGGGAUAAUG